rnacentral:rRNA from 1 species
AUUGAACGCUGGCGGCAUGCUUUACACAUGCAAGUCGAGCGGUAACAGGCCUUCGGGUGCUGACGAGUGGCGAACGGGGGCGUAAUGCAUCGGAACGUACCCAGAGGUGGGGGAUAACGCAGCGAAAGCUGUGCUAAUACCGCAUGUGAUCUGAGGAUGAAAGCGGGGGACCGAGCAGCAAUGUUUGGCCUCGCGCCUUUGGAGCGGCCGAUGUCGGAUUAGCUAGUUGGUGGGGUAAAGGCCUACCAAGGCGACGAUCCGUAGCUGGUCUGAGAGGACGACCAGCCACACUGGGACUGAGACACGGCCCAGACUCCUACGGGAGGCAGCAGUGGGGAAUUUUGGACAAUGGGCGCAAGCCUGAUCCAGCAAUGCCGCGUGAGGGAAGAAGGCCUUCGGGUUGUAAACCGCUUUUGGCAGGAACGAAACGGUGUCCGCUAAUACCGGGCGCUAAUGACGGUACCUGCAGAAUAAGCACCGGCUAACUACGUG